UACGUAGGCAGCAAGCGUUGUUCGGAGUUACUGGGCGUAAAGGGUGUGUAGGCGGUUGGAUAAGUGUGGUGUGAAAUCUCCCGGCUUAACUGGGAGGGUGCGCUACAAACUGUCUGACUAGAGUGUGGGAUGGGAGAGUGGAAUUCCUGGUGUAGCGGUGAAAUGCGUAGAUAUCAGGAAGAACACCCGUGGCUAAGGCGGCUCUCUAGUACGGUACUGACGCUGAGACGCGAAAGCGUGGGGAGCGAACAGG
rnacentral:rRNA from 1 species